GAUGAACGCUGGCGGAAUGCUUAACACAUGCAAGUCGACGUGAAGUUGGGUUUUUUCACUUUGAUUUGGGUGGCGGACGGGUGAGUAACGCGUAAAGAACUUGCCUCACAGCUCGGGACAACAGUUGGAAACGAAUGCUACUACCUGAUAUUAUGAUUAUACUGCAUCUUAGAUUUAUGAAAGCUAUAUGCGCUGUGAGAGAGCUUUGCGUCCCAUUAGCUUGUUGGAGAGGUAACGGCUCACCAAGGCGAUGAUGGGUAGCCGGCCUGAGAGGGUGAAGGGCCACAAGGGGACUGAGUAACGGCCGCUACUCUGACGGGAGGCAACAGUGGGGAAUGUUGGACAAUGGACCAAGAGUCUGAUACAGCAAUUCUGUGUGCACGAUGACGUUUUUCGGAAUGGAAAGUGCUUUCAGUUGGGAAGAAAAAAAUGACGGUACCAACAGAAGAAGCGACGGCUAAAUACGUG
rnacentral:rRNA from 1 species